rnacentral:lncRNA from 1 species
UAAUGCCAGAGCAUGUACAGCAGUUGCAUUAACUCAUGAGAGAAGUUCAAUAUUUGUGGAUCUGAAACAAGAUUUGGUGGUACCAAGGCAACAUUUUGUGAUUGAAAAAGCUGCAACCCUCCUACCCUGCUUCAUGGACCUAUGCCUCUUCCAGCCAUAACUUGAACAGGAAUAACUUUCUUCUAUCUUCACCUUCCCUUUUGGCUACAGCCUUAAGAAGAAGUGGCAGAAAAACAUCUGAGAUGAAGAGAGACCCUAGGUUCCUGACAUGUCCAGCCUCUGAGUCAUAGAGGUCAUAUAAAAAAGGCAGAGACAGAUAUUCUUCUGGGAGAAGAUGGCUCAAAUGAGAGAGACUUGAAGCCAUGUCACAUGAAGAAGAGUCAGAAUAAUUGAGGAUGGUUAAUCCUCAAAAGAGAGUGUUUAGGUAAAAUUUGAGGGCUGACUUCAAAGAUCUGAAAGACUACUUCAUGGAGGAAAGAUGUGAAGACCCGGGACCAAAGGUUACAGGGGAGUGGAUUUGCAUAAUUGCUGUGCAAGGAGGGAACAAUUAUGACAGCUAAUGUUUACUGAGUGCUCACCACGCAUGCACUAAAGUUAAGGUCUUUAUAUGCCUUAGCUACAAGGUUGUAGAUCAAAUUCAUACUUAUCACUACAAGUGUCUCAGAGCAUCGUUAGUAAAGGCUCCAUUUACUGACUACUUAUUAAAUUACUUCAUUUAA